rfam:Gaeumannomyces graminis var. tritici R3-111a-1 unplaced genomic scaffold supercont2.5, whole genome shotgun sequence.
AGCAACUUGGCGCAGGGGAAGCGCGCCGGGCUCAUAACCCGGAGGUCCUUGGAUCGAAACCAAGAGUUGCUA